rnacentral:rRNA from 1 species
GAUGAACGCUGGCGGCGUGCCUAAUACAUGCAAGUCGAGCGAGCAGACGAGGAGCUUGCUCCUGUGACUUUAGCGGCGAACGGGUGAGUAACACGUGGAUAACCUACCUAUAAGACUGGGAUAACUUUGGGAAACCGGAGCUAAUACCGGAUAAUAUAUUGAACCGCAUGGUUCAAUAGGGAAAGACGGUUUUGCUGUCACUUAUAGGUUGAUCCGCGCCGCAUUAGCUAGUUGGUAAGGUAACGGCUUACCAAGGCGACGAUGCGUAGCCGACCUGAGAGGGUGAUCGGCCACACUGGAACUGAGACACGGCCCAGACUCCUACGGGAGGCAGCAGUAGGGAAUCUUCCGCAAUGGGCGAAAGCCUGACGGAGCAACGCCGCGUGAGUGAUGAAGGUUUUCGGAUCGUAAAACUCUGCUAUUAGGGAAGAACAAAUGUGUAAGUAACUAUGCACGUCUUGACGGUACCUAAUCAGAAAGCCACGGCUAACUACGUG